UUGCGUUGCCGCUCCUCUCUUGCUUCGCUAAACAAACGUAAUGCUUUUUGUUUCUUCCAUAUUCUGAUUCCCCUUUGGGUUUUACCGAGUGAGUUUAACCUUCACUGUUCUGAUUUUCUGGGUUUCAACAAGUAAAAGAAGAAGAGAAAAGCAAAUUGGUUGGUAACUUUUUCACGAGCUGUGGCUUGCAUAGGCUGGGGAAGGAAAGACUCGUGGGUAGCUGAGUCCAUUUGCAGGGACUAAACAUCUUGAUGUGGCCGCCGAGCGGUUCUUUACAGUGAUAUUCUGCAAUUGAGGUUGUAUAUGCGGAGAACAGUGAGAGAUGCAGCAAGAAUGAAAAGGAAGAUGUUGAGGGUGAUCUCUUGGUGAUAUCUCACAUAAUAUACAAUGUCCACAACUUUUGUACCUUAUCAGUUUCUUUUUUUUUCCUGAUCUCAGUGGUUAUGCAAUGCAGACAAGUCACCACAUGAACCUUGUUUGGCUUGUGAAGUGACUCAAAGAAGAUCGUCGAGUGACUAGCUUUAAAGAUUCAUGUUGUUGUCUGUGUAAUGUCUCUGUCUUAGCUAUGUGGUGGAAUGAUCUCUAGUCCCAUGUCUAAUAGUGUAGUUUAUGAUCUAUAUGUGUACUUUUUAAGUUGUGGUUGCUUUUGUAAACUUGAAACUAGA